CUUAAAAAUAACCCCCUCCCUGUCAAUCACGAGGAGGAGCUUGCAGAGGAGCCAAGUUCUGCUGGGGAUGGCUUGGCUUAGGACAAUGUCAGAAGGGCCUCAAGGCAAUCAGCAGCCGCUGCACUUGGAGCCUACCCCAAGCUCUUAUCAGCCUAGGCAAGCCCCUGCCCAAAGCCUGCUCUCCUCAGAGACUUCCGCCCCAGCCGGCAUCUGUUUCCUUUCCUAUAUUUAAACAACCGGGUAAGUGAACUUGCGAGAGCAUUUCUUUUUUAAUCUUUUUUUAUUUUUUUUAGUUGUUG
rnacentral:lncRNA from 1 species